rnacentral:rRNA from 1 species
ACGGGAGGCAGCAGUGAGGAAUAUUGGUCAAUGGGCGAGAGCCUGAACCAGCCAAGUAGCGUGAGGGAUGACUGCCCUAUGGGUUGUAAACCUCUUUUGUUCGGGAAUAAAGGAGCCCACGUGUGGGCUUUUGCAUGUACCGUUCGAAUAAGCAUCGGCUAAUUCCGUGCCAGCAGCCGCGGUAAUACGGAAGAUGCGAGCGUUAUCCGGAUUUAUUGGGUUUAAAGGGAGCGUAGGCGGUCCUUUAAGUCAGCGGUCAAAUGUCAGCGCCCAACGCUGGCCUGCCGUUGAUACUGGAGGACUUGAAUACACACAAGGAAGGUGGAAUUCGUCGUGUAGCGGUGAAAUGCUUAGAUAUGACGAAGAACUCCGAUUGCGAAGGCAGCCUUCUGGGGUGCGAUUGACGCUGAGGCUCGAAAGCGCGGGUAUCAAACAGGAUUAGAUACCCUGGUA